rnacentral:rRNA from 1 species
GUCUACAGCCAUACUAUUCUGAACAAGCCCGAUCCCAUCUGAUCUUGGAAGCUAAGCAGGGUCGGGCCUGGUUAGUACUUGGAUGGGAGACCACCUAGGAAGACCAGGUGCUGUAGGCA